AGCAGCCGCGGUAAUUCCAGCUCCAAUAGCGUAUAUUAAAGUUGUUGCAGUUAAAAAGCUCGUAGUUGAAUUUCGGGAUCAAGGAAUCGGUCAUGCCUUGGUAUGUACUGGUUUUAUUGGUUCUCACCUUCUAAAGAACCAUAAUGUCAUUCAUUUGAUGUUAUGAGGAAUUAGGACUGUUACCUUGAAAAAUUAGAGUGUUUAAAGCAGGCUUACGCUUGAAUACAUCAGCAUGGAAUAAUGAAAUAGGACAUCAGAUUCUAUUUUGUUGGUUUCUAGGAUCGAUGUAAUGAUUAAUAGGGAUAGUUGGGGCAUUAGUAUUCAAUUGUCAGAGGUGAAAUUCUUGGAUUUAUUGAAGACUAACUACUGCGAAAGCAUUUGCCAAGG
rnacentral:rRNA from 1 species